GAAAUGCGAUAAGUAAUGUGAAUUGCAGAAUUCAGUGAAUCAUCGAAUCUUUGAACGCACAUUGCGCCCGCCAGUAUUCUGGCGGGCAUGCCUGUUCGAGCGUCAUUUCGACCAUCAAGCCCCCGGCUUGUGUUGGGGACCUGCGGCUGCCCGCAGGCCCUGAAAAACAGUGGCGGGCUCGCUGUCACACCGAGCGUAGUAGCAUACAUUCUCGCUCAGGGCGUGCUGCGGGUUCCGGCCGUUAAACGACCUUCAUAACCCAAGGUUGACCUCGGAUCAGGUAGGAAGACCCGCUGAACUUAAGC
rnacentral:misc_RNA from 1 species